AUUGAACGCUGGCGGCAGGCCUAACACAUGCAAGUCGAACGGUAACAGGAAGAAGCUUGCUUCUUUGCUGACGAGUGGCGGACUGGUGAGUAAUGUCUGGGAAACUGCCUGAUGGAGGGGGAUAACUACUGGAAACGGUAGCUAAUACCGCAUAACGUCGCAAGACCAAAAAGGGGGACCUUCGGGCCUCUUGCCAUCGGAUGUGCCCAGAUGGGAUUAGCUAGUAGGUGGGGUAACGGCUCACCUAGGCGACGAUCCCUAGCUGGUCUGAGAGGAUGACCAGCCACACUGGAACUGAGACACGGUCCAGACUCCUACGGGAGGCAGCAGUGGGGAAUAUUGCACAAUGGGCGCAAGCCUGAUGCAGCCAUGCCGCGUGUAUGAAGAAGGCCUUCGGGUUGUAAAGUACUUUCAGCGGGGAGGAAGGGAGUAAAGUUAAUACCUUUGCUCAUUGACGUUACCCGCAGAAGAAGCACCGGCUAACUCCGUG
rnacentral:rRNA from 1 species